rnacentral:rRNA from 1 species
GAUGAACGCUAGCGGCAGGCCUAACACAUGCAAGUCGAGGGAGAAGCCCUUUCGGGGGCAGAAACCGGCGCACGGGUGCGUAACGCGUAUGCAACCUACCUUUCACAGGGGGAUAGCCCGAAGAAAUUUGGAUUAAUACCCCAUAAUAUUAUUGGAUGGCAUCAUUUGAUAAUUAAAACUGCGGUGGUGAAAGAUGGGCAUGCGUCCUAUUAGCUAGUUGGAGUGGUAACGGCACCCCAAGGCUACGAUAGGUAGGGGUCCUGAGAGGGAGAUCCCCCACACUGGUACUGAGACAGGGACCAGACUCCUACGGGAGGCAGCAGUGAGGAAUAUUGGUCAAUGGUCGGAAGACUGAACCAGCCAUGCCGCGUGCAGGAAGAAUGCCUUAUGGGUUGUAAUCUGCUUUUAUAUGGGAAGAAUAAGGCGUACGUGUACGUUGAUGACGGUACCAUAUGAAUAAGCAUCGGCUAACUCCGUG